UACGUAGGGCGCAAGCGUUGUCCGGAAUUAUUGGGCGUAAAGAGCUCGUAGGCGGCCUGUUACGUCUGCUGUGAAAUCCCAGGGCUUAACCCCGGGCGUGCAGUGGAUACGGGCAGGCUGGAGGCAGGCAGGGGAGAACGGAAUUCCCGGUGUAGCGGUGAAAUGCGCAGAUAUCGGGAGGAACACCGGUGGCGAAGGCGGUUCUCUGGGCCUGUACUGACGCUGAGGAGCGAAAGCGUGGGGAGCGAACAGG
rnacentral:rRNA from 1 species